rnacentral:tRNA from 1 species
GGGGGUGUGGCUCAGUGGUAGAGCACUUGCCUAGCAUGCAGGAGGCCCUGGGUUCAAUCCCAGCGCCACAA